rnacentral:rRNA from 1 species
CUGGGGCUUCCCGCCGAGUCGUGGGAAUGACUUCGGCGGAUCGCUAGUUAGCAUAGUUUAGGGUUAGAACUAGGGCGGUAUCUGAUCGCCUUCGAUCCUCUAACUUUCGUUCUUGAUUAAUGAAAACAUUCUCGGCAAAUGCUUUCGCAGUAGUUAGUCUUGCGACGGUCCAAGAAUUUCACCUCUAGCGUCGCAAUACUAAUGCCACCGUCUGUCCCUUUUAAUCAUUACCUCGGUUCAUUAAAACCGACAAAAAGAACAGAAUCGAGGUCCUGUUACUUCAUUCCAUGCACAGACAUUCAGGCCGUGUAUAAGCCCGCUUUAAGCACUCUAAUUUUUUCAAAGUGAACGUGUCGGCCACCCUGGAACACUCGGUAAAGAGCACUCCGAGCGAGCCGACAAAAUUUUAAUUGUACCAAACGCGGACGAGCUAUACCGGAAGGCAGCGUUCCGCAGUCCGAGAGAUUCCGUAAAACGAAACGACGGCGGCCCCUAGCGUAACGCGACCGAAAGCGACUACUACCGAUCAAAGGACCGACAGAGCCGCGCAACGGAGCGAACGUAGAGAAACGCGCGCCGCGACGCAACGUCAUCUAACAACUUGCGCGAAACACUAGACCGACUAGCGACUCACCCACGAAAUGGAUCUAGAAAGUCCAACUACGAGCUUUUUAACCGCAGCAACUUUAAUAUACGCUAUUGGAGCUGGAAUUACCGCGGCUGCUGGCACCAGACUUGCCCUCCAAUGGAUCCUCGUCCAAAGAUUUAAGAUGGACUCAUUCCGAUUGCGAGGCCUCGGAAGAGUCUCGCAUCGUUAUUUUUCGUCACUACCUCCCCGGGCUGGGAGUGGGUAAUUUGCGUGCCUGCUGCCUUCCUUAGAUGUGGUAGCCGUUUCUCAGGCUCCCUCUCCGGAAUCGAACCCUGAUUCCCCGUUACCCGUUACAGCCAUUGUAGGGGUUUAACCUACAAUCG